rnacentral:lncRNA from 1 species
UCACUGAUACGUUCUUAGGUUGGUGUAAAGAGACAGCACAAGAGUAUGGUAUUUUUCAUGCUAUAUUCAUAGGAGGUGGUGGCUUUGGCUUUGCUUGUUUGUACUCGAUGUUGCUAAACCUACCUCACCGCAGCACGGAUUCUGAUGAAUUUCUGUUGCCGGAUUUUCCAGAAGCUUCAACACUUCAUGUAACACAGAUAUCUCCUUACUUACGUGCUACCGAUGGAAGUGAUUCUUUUUCAGUGUUUUAUAAGAAGUUGCUUCUUCUAUGGAAGGAUGCAGAUGGAAUUUUGGUUAACACGGUUGAGGAACUUGACAAGAUUGGACUGAUGUAUUUCAAGAGAAAAUUUGGCCGGCCGGUUUGGCCAAUAGGGCCUGUUCUUUUGUCCACGGAAAGCAGAGCUGGGGCCAGAAAAGAGUACGGAAUCUCCACAGAGUUGUGUAAAAAAUGGCUUGAUACAAAGCCGUACACUUCAGUUCUGUAUGUAUCAUUUGGUUCACAAAACACAAUAGCUGCAUCACAAAUGAUGCAAUUGGCAAUGGCUUUAGAGGCUAGUGGCAAGAAUUUCAUUUGGGUUGUCAGGCCGCCGAUUGGCUUUGACAUAAAUUCUGAGUUUAAAGCCAACAAAUGGCUGCCUCGAGGAUUUGAAGAAAGAAUCAAAUGUUCAGGACAAGGGCUAGUGGUACACAAAUGGGCACCUCAGGUGGAGAUUUUAUCUCAUAGGUCUGUAUCCGCAUUUUUGAGCCACUGCGGAUGGAACUCUGUGCUUGAAGCUUUGAGUCAUGGGGUGCCGAUAAUUGGGUGGCCAUUGGCAGCAGAGCAGUUUUAUAAUUCUAAGCUCUUAGAAGAAGAGAUGGGGGUUUGUGCGGAGAUAGCAAGAGGGAUGAGUUGUGAGGUUCUGAAAGAGGACUUAAGUGCAAAAAUUGAGUUAGUGAUGAAUGAGACUGAGAAAGGAACAGACUUGAGAAACAAAGCUAAUGAGGUCAAGGUGAUUAUUAAGAAUGCUGUGAGAAAUGAAACAAAUUUUAAGGGGUCUUCUGUGAAAGCCAUGGAUCAAUUCUUGAAUGCUGCAUUGAUAAUGAGACAGACGGAAAAGGGAGCAUCAAACAUCAAAGGAUGAGGUUUGAUUUUGCGUGGAAGUAAGUCUCCAUUGCCAUUUCUGUCAAUGAAAAAUAAUGUCAUCUUUUAACGAGACAGUUUUUGGAAAAUUCUUGAAGUAAUGUUAAGUUUUGGGAAAAUUCUUGAAGUAAUGUUAUCUUUGUAUUAACUUUCGAUCAAUAAUAUGAAAUUUAAUUUUAUAUAAAUUAAUCCCAUACCAAAGAGCCACCUCUGUUUUUUGUGACUACAUCUAUCGAGAGUUUGAGUUUAAAGCUUGUUAUUUCCGAGUGGGAUCAAGAAUUUAUAGAGCAUAAUUCCUUUUUUUUUUUUUUUUUUUUGAUAGAGCAUAAUUCCUUAGUAUUUAAUGUUUUCAAUAAAUGAAAGUAAGAUUGGGCCGGAAAAACAUCACGCACGAUCCACAUCAAGCCCAACCCAGACCAUAUCAUUUGGGCUGGUUUGAUAAGGGAAACUCAAUCUAUAAUAAAUUUCGGCAGGGAUUGGGUUGAUGAUUUUCACAAAAUAAUUUCUAAAAUGAUAAAUCGAUAAAUUACUGUUGAAAAAAUAAUAAUAAAAGGUAGAAAUCUGCAUCUCUUGAUUUAUCAAUGGCACCAUCAUCGUCAAUGACCAAGCUUCUGAUAGUGGCUAUAACGAUAUUUGUAAGUUUUGGCUAAAUGGGAUUGCCACCAUUAAAUUUUUUAGUUAUUUGUAUCUUAGAUUUUUCUAAGAUCAUAAUAUGUCAAAAUAAAUUAUUGAAUCUAAAAGGAAAAAAAAAUUGAACUAACUGUACUUUUUUUUUUAAUGGAAAUGCAUUUUGAUUAAAGUAUAGUAAAACGUUAAUAGCAAGAAUAAACAUGACUUUUCAUAUGAAAUUUUGGUUCAAUCGCAUGCUGUAAAUUUCAAAAUUUGGGACGCCAUAAAUUUCAAAGUUUGAGAAACAAAAAAGUUAUGAGAUUUUUCUAAAUAUGUGCAUUGAGAUCUCCUUCUUACCAUUCCUUAAUUACAUUUUUUUUUGUUGAAUUAUAUUGUGUUUUGUGGUCACUUAAAAUAGGAUUCAACUUUAUACCAUUGAACCAAUCAUGUUAAAAUGUUGGAUGAAAUUGAAUUAAAAUUAUUCAUAGCAUUAGAUGGAGAUUGAGAUUUUAUAAACAAAUGUUGGAUGGUGAUUGGAGAAAAGAGAUAUUGCAAAUGGCGACGCUGAUCGGAGAAAACAAAAAUACCCUAAAGUAUAUAAACGCUUGGUUUCGCAAUGAUAUAUAUUGUCUGAUUUAUUGAAAUUUGCUUUAAAGUAUACUCUAAUUUACUGGAUUGCUUGAAAAAAUAAAGUGUAAUGUUAAUCGCAUCUCGUAGAUUUGUAUGCAAAAUAAAUUUUAAUAUAAUAUUUUAAAUUAAUUAAAAUAACAGUAAUUUUCCAUUACAAUAAUAAAUCGUCUUUAAUUAUUUAUGAAGACAAAAUUUGGGCUAUUUUCAUAUUGAAAGCACAUAUACUCUUUGUCUGCAGGGGCGACCCUCCAAGACUGAGACCAUCUAAAACUUGACUCAACAACUCAGCAUCGUAUAUAUAUUCCCAAAAGAUGAAAGCUUUGGUUUCCCAACUAAGUCACCCACCUGUGCUUUUCCCCUGCGUAUUUAGGGAUGGCAAAAAUCCCUACGAAGACGGGUAUUUUCGGAGAUUUUUUCCAUUCAGAGAGAAUAUGAGGAUAAUUUCAUACCCAAUUUCUUAUUCAGGAAAGGGACAUAGAAAUUUUUUAAUUUCUUAUUCGGGGAGGGGACGGGGAUGAGGUGGAAUCCUCAUCCCCUACCCAUUUCCCCAUUUUAAUUUUUAAUUUAAUUUUUAUUUUUUAAAAUUACUAGUAAAUAAAUAAUAAAAUUUGAAUUAUAAAAUUAUAAGUAUUGGUAAAAAUAAAAAAUAUCAAAAUAUUUAUAUUAUUAAACUUUUAGGCCUAAUUAACUAAUUAAAGUCCUAAAUUUUUAUUUAAGACAUUAAAAAGACCGGACAUAUUCUAUUAGCCCAAAAUUUUUAUUUUUAUUUUAAUAUUCAUUAAAUAUUUUAAACUUAAAUCUAUUUUUUAUUUAUCUUAAAUCUAUUUUUUAUUUAUUUUUAGAUGUUAUAAUUGCCCACAACAAAUCACAAUUUUAAUAUCCAAUCUAAUUUAAUAUUUGCUCUUGAUUUGUUUCGACUUAACUAUUGUGUUGUAAAGGGAAUAGUCCACAUUUAUAAAGUGCUCACGCCACCAUUGAAAAGUUAAUUUUGAAUCUAAAUUUGAUUUUAUUUGUAACAAUUUUGUAUUAGGCUAUUAAUUUGUUCAUGAUAGUUUGUAUCCCUUGCAUGCUGCGUUACUUACUAAUUUAAUAUAUGUGACUUUUGUAAUGGAUAUUAAUGUAAGAUAUAUUUCGAAAUUUACUUUUAUUUGAAUUUUUUUAUUUUAAUAUGAUUAACUCAAAAUCGAAAACAAAAAAAAAUGUAUUAGUUAUUCAGGGAUCGGGGACCCUCGGGGAUCCCCUGUUAUUAUUCGGGGAGGGGAUGAUGAUUCUCUUAAACAAUUGUGACGGGGAUGAAGAGGGGACGGGGAUAUACGCAAAAUAUCGGGGAUGGGUACGGGGAGAUUGGUCCUCUCCCCUCCCCUCCCCAUUGCCAUCCCUAUGCGUAUUGGUGUUGGAUCAAUGUUGUAUAUGCCUUCGCUACAAAAUUAGACAAUUUUAAAAAUUUUGGUGAUUAUGAUCCUAUUUAGGACUGAAUUGUUGUAACUUUUAAAGUACAAGUUUUGUGAAAAAAAAAGAUAUAAUUAUGAAUUAAGAGUAAAUAAUAUAUAGUAAACAUAAAUUUUAAAUAAUAAUUUUACUAAAAUUAUUAAAGAUUUAUUAGACUUUUCAUCACAUAAAUAUAAAAUCAAAUCAAAUUAGCUUUUAAAAUAUAACAGUUAAUGUUUACCAAAUACUUUAAUACUGUAACUUUUAAGGUAUAACUGUCCAACCUUAAUUCUAAAUAUAGUCUAUGAGUGUGUUUGGGAGUGAUGCGAGACAACUCGGUUGCUAAUGUAUUUGGUUACAUCUUACAGCUAAACUUUGACAGCUCAACAGUUUAAAAGUUAAAGUUUUUACUCUACAGCUAUAAUUUUUACUCUACAACAACUGCAACUUAAAAAUUACAGUACCUUACUUCCAAACACACCUUAUAUCUAUCACAAACUUGUUCAGAUUACUAACUAAUUAUGCGUUAUUUAACAUAGUAGAAUUCAGUAAUUCACUUAUUAUUAAUUUUUUGUUUUAGAUUUAGGUCUCUUGACCAUCUUUCACCGAUACAAACUGUUUUAUUACAUACCAAAACUGUUAAAAUCAAGGACGGAAGCAGCAUUGGUGCUACUAGGAUUAGUUGUCCCCACUUAAUUAAAAAAAGUAUUUAUUAAUCUAUUUUAUGCUUAAGUCUCACCCUGUAAUCUUUUAUCUUGAUUUCAUUGUUCAGUCCAUUUAUCCUUUAAAAUUAUUUGAACAACUCAGUAACUUGAAAUUAAAAGCCUAAUAGCCUUAAUUCCAGUAUGUUGCCAAAAAAAAAAAAUUAAUUAGCAUUGAUAAUAAAAUUAUUGCGCAAUCAACUCAUAAAAAAUUUAUAUAUAUAUAUAUAUAUUAUGAGUGAAAGAUAUAAUCUUAUAGUUAUUAUUAUUUUUAAAAAAUUACCCCCAUAGAACAAAUUUCUAACUUCAUUCCUUUUUAAAGUAACUCACGUUAUUUUAAAUUUUCAACAAAAGUCAAAGACAAAUAGGUAUAAAUAAUUAUUUUAAAUUUUUUAUUAAAACUUAGCAGUUUGAGAAAAUUUUAUUAAAUAUGAAAUAAGAAAUGAAAUACCAAAUUCAGAGAAUUUAAUUACAUUAUUUUUUCCCAGUUGGAAAUAUGUUGGAAAGAAAUGCCUUCAAAAUUUGCCAUUAAAAUAAGAAAUAUGUUUAUUAAUAUAAAUUAAAAAAUAAUGUAAUUAAAUUGAUUAAUAAAUAUUUGAUUUGGUUGGUCAUUUAACCAUAAAGUGACAACAUACAAGCGACAGAGUUGACGACUUUUUGUGCAGUGUGGAGCCCAUUCUAGACACAAAAAGUUAUGGAACAAAUGGUGCCACCAAACAAAUUUUUACUUCUAUGAAAGGGAAUCAAAAAAUGAGAAUGAUUUGAUGUCAAAAGUCAGUAUGAUCCAAGCAAUGCUGCAAAACGGUGCCACCAAACAAAUUUUUCAUUGUUAUUACGUUAAAAGACAGAAAAAAAAAAAACAAUUUGGAAACAGUACCAAGCAGCCUACUAAAAUUCUCGAAUUAUUUAGGAUUGGGGUUUUCUUUGAUGUUUAAUGAAUUAUUAUUGGCAAAUUGUAGUGAGUCAACAAUUGAAAUUAUAUUGAUCAAAUUGUAUCAGAACAUGAAUUCAUAUAAGUAAAUAGUGAGUAAAAGUUACUAGAUAGUCUGCAGUAAUAAAAUAAACAAUAGAAAAGAAAAUGAAAAAUAGAAAACUUAGAAAAAAAAAAAAGAGGCCUGUUAAACAAUAGUUUCUUUAAAACAAAUUUAUCACCUAUUACAGUGAUGUUAGAUUCAUUGGUAUUUGUUUUUCAAGAUACAACAGGAACAAAUUAUUUGUCAAACACAUACAAAUAAUUUCGGUGAACAUCAACAAUGUAGAAUCUCAAUCAAAACAUAACGUUAGAGGGAAAAAAAUUUAUUUUCUUUUCAAGUGUUCUGUGUGUUUGUUGUAUAUAAAACAUAAGAGAAAUAUUGUUUUUUUUAUAUACAUGAGGGUAUGACUGUUGAAUAAUAAAAUUGAAUAUUUGAAUUCUAUAUUUAAUUUAAUUUGCUUCUGUAAUAGCCCGUUGAAUUCAAAAUAUUUAAUUUUGUAACAACUCAAAAUUUAUUCACAAAUCAAACUAUUUUUUAUUUUUAAUUUUGAAAACUGUUACAAAAUUUAAAAGGAAAUAAAAAAAUGUGGUCAUGCAGGCUUGAGUGAUUUUUUGGUCGACAUUCGCAUAUGCAAGACGCUUGGGUGUACACGAGUUCAACCAAAUUGAGUUUGGAUUGCACUUCCCCUCCCCCCACAAGUGGCGUAGAGAAAACCUCUAUCUUUAAAAUUCUUAUUCAUGUAUGGAUAGGUAUCUAUAUAUAAACACAAAUCCCUUAGCUUAUUUUUUCUAUGUGAGAUAAGUUUUAUUUUUUUUCAAAUUUCUAACUUCAAGAGUGCACUUUGAGAGUCAAUUUUCUCAUUCACCCAAGCAUGAUUUUGAAUAUAUAUAAAUAUAUCAUUCUAAAGCGUUCACAGAAUAGAAUCCAAACCUCUCAAUAUUUUCAUUUUUGUUAAGUGGGUCCCACUCAAAAUGUGCCCUCCAAAAUAGCAUACUAAUAUGCUAUUUUUCAACAACUAUAUGAUAACAAAUUAACAAUAAUGAUAAAGUCAAAAUUAGUUUUGUACAACCAAUGGGUCAUUUGUUUUUUUUUUUUUUUGACUUAAUGACUUAAUUGAAUUUGUUAAGUCAUUAAAUCUAUUUAUUUUUUUCAACUUAAUGAAAAUUUUCAGUCAUUAGGUCAUUAAGUUAUUAAACUAAUUUUUUUAAACUUUUUGUUUAAUCUAAAAAGUCUGAAUGAUAUAAUUAAAAGAUAUUCUCCAAAAUAUCCCUAUCUAAUUAAUUAAUUUUCAUUUUUACCUAAAUAAAAUUUAAUAAUGAGCAGUAUUACCCAUCUCUAUAUAACUUGUGAUAAUAUAUAGUGGUAAACUAUUAUUUUUUUAUCUUUUAAUUUUUUUUCAAAUUAGCAUUAUUUAUCUUCAUAAUUUGUUAUGAAUAUUAUUCAUAUAAAAAUAUCAUAAACUAUAAUAAAUUUGAUAAACAUAUAUAAUAUAGAAUACUAAAGAGUUGUAUUCAAUCGAAUAUGAUUUAUGUUAUAAUCAUAUAUUAUCUUAUUUAUAUUCUUUGAGAUAUUUAUUUAUUUGUUUAACAUUUAUAAUUUGUAAGGGUAUAAAUGUAAAAAUAUCCGUUGUCAGAUUUUUUAAGUAAAAAAAAACUUAAUAUUUAUUUUUAGUGAUUCAAAUAAAAAAUAAACAUAUCAUUUAAAUUCAUACAUUUAGCUCUAUUAAGAAUUAAAACUAAUUUAGAUCUAUUCAGAUUUAAAAAAAAAAAAACAAAUACCACUUAAAUAUAUAAAAAUUAAUGUAAUAUGAAGAAAUUAAUUGAAAAGGGAUAACAAUUAUCUUUUUCAAAUAUGUUGAGUCAUGAUGAUUUUAUACAAACAAUCUCCUCAUGAGAUUAAAAUGAGCAAUGUGUCAAGGGUAUAGCAAAAUUAUCAAAAUGCUCGGUUUGUUAAAUUUAAUUUUCAAUUUUUAAAUUUAGAAAGUCAAAAGUCAAACUAAAUCAUUCGGUCUUUAAAAAAAGCAAAAAUACCAAAAUGACCCCGCUCCCCUUCUUAACCACCCGAUCCUCCACAAUUUCUCCUUAUCCUCUCAUCAAUAGCAAUGGCACAAAGAAAAGAAAACAUAGUGAUGUUCCCAUUCAUGGCACAAGGCCAUAUAAUCCCUUUCCUAGCAUUAGCCCUUCACUUGGAAAAAACAAACAAAUACACCAUAACUCUUGUUAACACCCCUUUAAACCUUAAGCAACUCAAAUCAUCUCUCCCUCAAAAUUCCUCUAUUCACCUUCUUGAAAUUCCUUUCAAUAGCGUAGUGCAUGACCUCCCUCCUUGUACUGAAAACACAGACUCUAUUCCAUAUCACCUCUUUCCAAAAUUCCUUCAAGCAACAGCAUCGCUCGAACCCCACUUCAAGAAACUAAUCUCUGAACUUGUCAAUGAACAAAAUGGCCAAAAACCACUUUGUAUCAUCACUGAUAUGUUCCUUGGUUGGUGUAAAGAGACAGCACAUGAGUAUGGUAUUUUUCAUGCUAUAUUCAUAGGAGGUGGUGGCUUUGGCUUUGCUUGUUUCUACUCUUUGUGGGUAAACUUGCCUCAUCGGAAAACGGAUGCCGAUGAAUUUCUGUUGCCGGAUUUUCCAGAAGCUUCAACACUUCAUGUAACACAGAUAUCUCCUUACUUACGUGCUACCGAUGGAAGUGAUUCUUUUUCAGUGUUUUAUAAGAAGUUGCUUCUUCUAUGGAAGGAUGCAGAUGGAAUUUU